rnacentral:rRNA from 1 species
UGCGGCCGGCGGAUACAUGCAGUCGAGCGGACCGAACGGAAGCUUGCUUCUGUUCGGUUAGCGGCGGACGGGUGAGUAACACGUGGGUAACCUGCCCGUAAGACCGGGAUAACUCCGGGAAACCGGGGCUAAUACCGGAUAACACCGAAGACCGCAUGGUCUUUGGUUGAAAGGUGGCUUUUGCUACCACUUACGGAUGGGCCCGCGGCGCAUUAGCUAGUUGGUGAGGUAACGGCUCACCAAGGCGACGAUGCGUAGCCGGCCUGAGAGGGUGACCGGCCACACUGGGACUGAGACACGGCCCAGACUCCUACGGGAGGCAGCAGUAGGGAAUCUUCCGCAAUGGACGAAAGUCUGACGGAGCGACGCCGCGUGAGCGAAGAAGGUCUUCGGAUCGUAAAGCUCUGUUGUUAGGGAAGAAGAAGUACCGUUCGAAUAGGGCGGUACGGUGACGGUACCUAACGAGAAAGCCCCGGCUAACUACGUGCCAGCAGCCGCGGUAAUACGUAGGGGGCGAGCGUUGUCCGGAAUUAUUGGGCGUAAAGCGCGCGCAGGCGGUCCCUUAAGUCUGAUGUGAAAGCCCACGGCUCAACCGUGGAGGGUCAUUGGAAACUGGGGGACUUGAGUGCAGAAGAGGAGAGCGGAAUUCCACGUGUAGCGGUGAAAUGCGUAGAGAUGUGGAGGAACACCAGUGGCGAAGGCGGCUCUCUGGUCUGUAACUGACGCUGAGGCGCGAAAGCGUGGGAGCAAACAGGGAUUAGAUACCCUGGUAGUCCACGCCGUAAACGAUGAGUGCUAAGUGGUUAGAGA